GAGACAGCAGUAGCCGCGGGAACACGUAGGUGGCAAGCGUUGUCCGGAAUUAUUGGGCGUAAAGGGCUCGCAGGCGGUUCCUUAAGUCUGAUGUGAAAGCCCCCGGCUCAACCGGGGAGGGUCAUUGGAAACUGGGAAACUUGAGUGCAGAAGAGGAGAGUGGAAUUCCACGUGUAGCGGUGAAAUGCGUAGAGAUGUGGAGGAACACCAGUGGCGAAGGCGACUCUCUGGUCUGUAACUGACGCUUAGGAGCGAAAGCGUGGGGAGCGAACAGGAUUAGAUACCCGAGUAGUCCCUGUCUCUUAUAC
rnacentral:rRNA from 1 species